rnacentral:lncRNA from 1 species
AUGCCGGGGACCGUUUCCUGGAAGCCCUGGGUUUCAGCUGGCAUGAUACGUGUUUUGUUUGCGCAGUAAGCACCUCCCUCCUCUCCCCCUCCCACUCUGUGUCCCCUGUUCCUUACCACCCCAUACCUGUACCACUGCCUGUGGGAUAUCAGAGAGCUUGGGGAAGGGCUCUCCUCCACCCUCCCCAGCCUCGUGCGACUGGACCGUCUUUGUCCUCAGAUAUGUCAAAUCAACUUGGAAGGAAAGACCUUCUACUCCAAGAAGGACAAGCCCCUGUGCAAGAGCCAUGCCUUCUCCCACGUAUGAGCACCUCCUCACACUACUGCCACCCUACUCUGCCAGAAGGGUGAUAAAAUGAGAGAGCUCUCUCUCCCUCGACCUUUCUGGGUGGGGCUGGCAGCCAUUGUCCUAGCCUUGGCUCCUGGCCAGAUCCUGGGGCUCCCUCCUCACAGUCCCCUUUCCCACACUUCCUCCACCACCACCACCGUCACUCACAGGUGCUAGCCUCCUAGCCCCAGUUCACUCUGGUGUCACAAUAAACCUGUAUGUAGCUGUG